rnacentral:rRNA from 1 species
UACGUAGGGGGCAAGCGUUGUCCGGAUUUAUUGGGCGUAAAGAGCGUGUAGGCGGCCAGGUAGGUCUGCUGUGAAAACUCGAGGCUUAACCUCGAGCUGUCGGCGGAAACCAUCUGGCUAGAGUCCGGAAGAGGAGAAUGGAAUUCCCGGUGUAGCGGUGAAAUGCGCAGAUAUCGAGAGGAACACCAGAGGUGAAGACGGGUUGCUGGGCUGACACUGACGCUGAGGCGCGAAAGCCAGGGGAGCAAACGGG